rnacentral:lncRNA from 1 species
CAAUCUCGGCUCACUGCAAGCUCUGCCUCCCGGGUUCACGCCAUUCUCCUGCCUCAGCCUCCCAAGUAGCUGGGACUACAGCUGCCCGCCACCACGCCCAGCUAAUUUUUUGUAUUUUUAGUAGACACGGGGUUUCACCGUGUUAACCAGGAUGGUCUCGACCUCCUGACCUUGUGAUCCGCCCGCCUCAGCUUCCCAAAGCGCUGGGAUUACAGGCGUGAGUCACUGCACCCGGCCUUUUUGACUCAUUUUUAACAAGCUACCUUUUAUGGCAAAUUAUUAGGAUGGCUCUUAGCUUUGAAGUUGCAGUUUACUGCUGAAAACAUCACUCAGGGAACCUAGGCUGUGACUUGCAGGCUUUGCUUCUGUCCUACAACAUUAGCUUUUCCAAAUUACUCCAAGCUCGCCUUGUUCAUCCUCCAGGACUCCUUUUCUCUCCAGAGACUGAGGUUUAGAAAGUGAGAACCAGACAAGGAAGAAACUUCUUUAGAACCAGAGGUUCAUUUGUAUGGAGCUGUAGAUGUGGAAGCCUCCAGAUUAUAGACUGAGCUGCCAGGUGGCUGGGGAGUGUGUGUGCAACUGGAACACUCCUCUGACGCAUCGUGGGUUCCGUUCCCCGACUCACUUCUCAUUGCCUGGAAAGCAUAGGAAAAUUUCAGUUCCUGCCCUUGAUAGGCAGUCCAGCAAAACUUACAUAUGACUUUGCUGCCUGAAAUUCUUUCUGGAACAGGGCAAGGUAUAAAUAAAUAAAUAACAACAUGGUGAAAUCCCAUCUCUACAAAAAAAAAAAAAUACAAAACUUAGCCCAGUGUGGUGGCGGGCGUCUGUGAUCCCAGCUACUCAGGAGGCUGAGGCAGAGAAUUGCUUCAACUCGGGAGACGGAGGUUGCAGUGAGCCAAGAUUGUGCCACUGCACUCCAGCCUGGGCAGUAGAGUAGGUUUUUUGGCCUUGGGAAGGUCCUUCACCCGCUCUGAACCUCAGUAUCCCCACCUGUAAAACAAAAGAACUGGACAUGUCACUGUAGUUUUCAAACUAUGCUUGAUAGCAGUUCCUUAGCGAAGAGCUUCCCAGCUGGUGUGCCUUGGCAUGAUGACCUCAUUAGCCCUCCCAGACAAGGCCUGUGGUGGGUGAGCCCCCAGGAGCGGUUCCAUUCACAUUUCCUCUCCUUACCUUUGCCUUAAAAAUGGCAUAAUUCAUCCGGGUGUGGUGGCUCAUGCCUGUAAUCCCAGAACUUCGGGAGGCCGAAGCUAGUGGAUCACAAGGUCAGGAGUUCGAGACCAGCCUGGCCAACAUGGUGAAACCCCCCCAUCUCUACUAAAAAUACAAAAAUUAGCCGGGCAUGGUGGAGCACAUCUGUAAUCCCAGCUACUCCGGAGGCUGAGGCAGGAGAAUUCGCUUGAACCCGGGAGGCAGAGGUUGCGGUGCGCCGAGAUCGCGCCACUGCACUCCAGCCUAGGCGACAGAGGAAGACUCUAUCUGAAAAAGAAAAGAGAAAAAAAAAAGGCAUCAUUUUCUAGGUACCGUGACAGGGAAUAGGUUGGGAAGCAAUGACUUCAGGACAGGGGGAUGUUGAGUGAAUGGGGCUCAGCCCUGUAGCCAGUCAACAUACAGAGGCUUAAAGCAAAUUUCCAAAAGGCAUCCCUUUUCCUUCAAGAUACUACCACCCUCUAUUGGACAACUGCCCUGUUAAUAACUGUACAAAUCUAUGAGUGUUACAGCUCUUUUAGAAUUUGUCUAGCAGGUUUUCCAAUCUUCACUGAAAAGCUUUAAAAAAUAAAGUAAAAUUAUGAUGGAGGUCAUGGUACCUCCCAGAGUUGUGCAGCUCAUGUUUUGCACAACCAUUUAGGGGUUCUAAUGGAGCUCUGGGAUCCUCUCUGCCACAGCCUU